rnacentral:rRNA from 1 species
AGCAAUCUGCCUUUGGAGUGGGGAAUAACGGCUGGAAACAGCCGCUAAUACCGCAUGAUACAGCUGGGAGGCAUCUCCCUGGCUGUCAAAGAUUUAUCGCUCUGAGAUGAGCUCGCGUCUGAUUAGCUAGUUGGCGGGGUAACGGCCCACCAAGGCGACGAUCAGUAGCCGGACUGAGAGGUUGGCCGGCCACAUUGGGACUGAGACACGGCCCAGACUCCUACGGGAGGCAGCAG